CAGGGCCCGUCGUGGGGCCCCACCCACCACGAGGGAGCCGGGGAAUGUAACCCCACCGCGUGCUCGGGAGACGGGAGAGCCUGAGGUGAUCGAGAACUGAACUCAAAGAGGAAUUUAUGACAAGUAACAUUGGACAUUCUACUCAAUAAUGUUUACAAAAAUUUUGUCAAAGAUCCCAAGAUAACAACGUCUGUGCUAAAUAAGAUAAUAAAGGUCGCCUGGACUUUUUGCAAUGUGUUAGGCAUUAUGCCAGAUCCGUCACAUGAAUUAUUUUCUCCAAUGCUCACAAUAAAUGCUCUGAAGAAUUUUGGAUACUAAUGUGGCCCAUCCUGGAUCAUGAGGUCAAAUCUAUACAGAGAGGAAGAAGACAGAAAGAACCUUGUCUCUGCACCAACCAUGAUGCACCAUAUUACCUCUGGAUUUCUGAUAAUGGAUUUUGACUUGGGAGGAAUUAUGUAUUUGUACAAUAAAACAUGAAUGCUCCACUGAAGAAGAAAUGGAAUCUGACUGAGAGGCAACCCACAAGGAGGCAUAAAAACUUCCUCCUUCACAAGGCUACUCCAUACUGGCUAAAGGGUUAUUCAACCAAUCAUAUUCUCUCUUUCGGAAUCUGAAUGUGAGACACACAGAGAGAGACUGGCAUCACUAUUCGUUCAAGCCCAAAGCUAAGAGUCCUGUUCUCCCUCUCCUUUUUACCUCAUUCUUCAUAGGUAAGAAAUCACCAAGUUCUCUAAUAUUCCUUCUUUAAUUUUUUGAAUAUAAGCUCUUCACUCUAUUCCACUGAAUUACUUUAAUCUGAUCCAUCUUUCUCAUAUAGGUAACAUGCAGGUCUUUCCCACCUAUUAUAGGAUCAUCCUCAAUGCAUUCUCGACUGUGCCUCCAUCCUGGGUGACUAUUUAAAUAAAUUAUGAUAUACCUAUGAAAUCUAAUAUCAAGUAGCCUUUACAAAGAAUGAGACAGAUUUGUAUGUGCCAGGUAGAAAGUUUUCUAGGAUAAUAUUUUAUUUAAUAAAAAAUGAGACAAGAAUGUGAUGAUGACGGAUGCUGUCUCUUUGCUGCAUCUACUGCGAGAAUGGAGACCAUUCUCAGCAAUCAGACUGUCGAUAUUCCAGAAAAUGUUGACAUCACUCUUAAGGGACCCACAGUUAUCGUGAAGAGUCCCAGAGGAACCCUGCAGAGGGACUUCAAUCACAUCAAUGUAGAACUUAGUCUCCUUGGAAAGAAAAAGAAGAGGCUCUGGGUUGACAAAUGGUGGGGAAAUAGAAAGGAACUGGCUACAGUUUGCACUAUUUGUAGUCAUGUACAGAACGUGAUCAAGGGUGUUACACUGGGCUUCCAUUACAAGACGAGGUCUGUGUAUGCUCACUUCCUCAUCAAUGUCUUUAUCCCGGAGUAUGGGUCUUUUGUUGAAAUACGAAAUUUCUUAGGUGAAAAAUACAUCCACAGGGUUUGGAUGAGGCCAGGUGUUGCCUGUUCAGUAUCUCAAGCACAGAAAGAUGAGUUAUUCCUCAAAGGAAAUGACAUUGAACUUGUUUCAAAUUCAGCUGCUUUGAUUCAGCAAGCCACAACAGUUAAAAACAAGGAUAUCAGAAAAUUUUUGGAUGGUAUCUAUGUCUCUGAAAAAGGAAUCAGUUCAGCAGGCUGAUGAAUAAGAUCUAAGAGUUGUCCAGCCACAUGAAGACACUGCAUGAUUACUAAGAUGUAUUUGUAAUUUUGAUGAUGCAAUAAAAGAGCUGUUGGUUUGG